rnacentral:rRNA from 1 species
GUCCUCUGGAUUGUAAACUUCUUUUAUAUGGGACGAAAAAAGGUCUUUCUAGAUCACUUGACGGUACCAUAUGAAUAAGCACCGGCUAACUCCGUGCCAGCAGCCGCGGUAAUACGGAGGGUGCAAGCGUUAUCCGGAUUCACUGGGUUUAAAGGGUGCGUAGGCGGGUGGGUAAGUCAGUGGUGAAAUCCUGGAGCUCAACUCCAGAACUGCCAUUGAUACUAUCUAUCUUGAAUAUUGUGGAGGUAAGCGGAAUAUGUCAUGUAGCGGUGAAAUGCUUAGAUAUGACAUAGAACACCCAUUGCGAAGGCAGCUUACUACGCAUAUAUUGACGC